GGGGAUUUAGCUCAGCGGCAUAAGCGCCUGCCUUGUAAACAGGCAGUCGUGAGUUCAAUCCCUG
rnacentral:tRNA from 1 species